rnacentral:tRNA from 1 species
GCACCUGUAUUUCAGCGGUAGAAUGCGAGUCUGAUAAGCUCGCGAUGAAGGUUCGACUCCUUCCAGGUGCACCA